CAUGCGAGUCGAACGGUAACAGCAGAGCUUGCUCUGGCUGACGAGUGNNNNNGGGUGAGUAAUAUAUAGGUAAUGUACCCCUUGGACCGGGAUAGCCAUUGGAAACGAUGAUUAAUACUGGAUACUCCUUCUAACCAAAAGGUUAGUUGGGAAAUGGAUUCUGCCAAGGGAUCGGCCUAUAUCCCAUCAGCUAGUUGGUAGUGUAAGAGACUACCAAGGCGAUGACGGGUAGCGGGUUUGAGAGGAUGAUCCGCCACACUGGUACUGAGACACGGACCAGACUCCUACGGGAGGCAGCAGUGAGGAAUAUUGCACGAUGGGGGAAACCCUGAUGCAGCAACGCCGCGUGGAGGAUGACGCAUUUCGGUACGUAAACUCCUUUUAUAUGUCAAGAAAAUGACGGUAGCAUAUGAAUAAGCACCGGCUAACUCCGUGCCAGCAGCCGCGGUAAUACGGAGGGUGCAAGCGUUAUUCGGAAUCACUGGGCGUAAAGGACGCGUAGGCGGGUUGGUAAGUCAGAUGUGAAAUCCUACAGCUUAACUGUAGAACUGCAUUUGAAACUACUAACCUAGAGUAUGGGAGGGGGAGAUGGAAUUAGUGGUGUAGGGGUAAAAUCCGUAGAUAUCACUAGGAAUACCGAAAGCGAAGGCGAUCUCCUGGAACAUAACUGACGCUAAGGCGUGAAAGCGUGGGGAGCAAAACAGGAUUAGAUACCCUGGUAGUCCACGCCCUAAA
rnacentral:rRNA from 1 species